rnacentral:rRNA from 1 species
UGGGGAAUAUUGGACAAUGGGCGCAAGCCUGAUCCAGCCAUGCCGCGUGAGUGAUGAAGGCCCUAGGGUUGUAAAGCUCUUUUGUGCGGGAAGAUAAUGACUGUACCGCAAGAAUAAGCCCCGGCUAACUUCGUGCCAGCAGCCGCGGUAAUACGAAGGGGGCUAGCGUUGCUCGGAAUCACUGGGCGUAAAGCGCACGUAGGCGGACUCUUAAGUCGGUGGUGAAAUCCUGGAGCUCAACUCCAGAACUGCCUUCGAUACUGGGAGUCUCGAGUUCGGGAGAGGUGAGUGGAACUGCGAGUGUAGAGGUGAAAUUCGUAGAUAUUCGCAAGAACACCAGUGGCGAAGGCGGCUCACUGGCCCGAUACUGACGCUGAGGUGCGAAAGCGUGGGGAGCAAACAGG